rnacentral:rRNA from 1 species
AAAAGUUCGAUCAUGGCUCAGGAUGAACGCUGGCGGCGUGCCUAAUACAUGCAAGUCGAGCGAAUGGAUUAAGAGCUUGCUCUUAUGAAGUUAGCGGCGGACGGGUGAGUAACACGUGGGUAACCUGCCCAUAAGACUGGGAUAACUCCGGGAAACCGGGGCUAAUCCGGAUAACAUUUUGAACCGCAUGGUUCGAAAUUGAAAGGCGGCUUCGGCUGUCACUUAUGGAUGGACCCCGUCGCAUUAGCUAGUUGGUGAGGUAACGGCUCACCAAGGCAACGACGCGUAGCCGACCUGAGAGGGUGAUCGGCCACACUGGGACUGAGACACGGCCCAGACUCUACGGGAGGCAGCAGUAGGGAAUCUUCCGCAAUGGACGAAAGUCUGACGACAACGCCGCGUGAGUGAUGAAGGCUUUCGGGUCGUAAACUCUGUUGUUAGGGAAGACAAGGCAGUGAAUAAG